UACGUAGGGUGCAAGCGUUGUCCGGAAUUAUUGGGCGUAAAGGGCUCGUAGGCGGUCCAUCACGUCGGGAGUGAAAAGCUGGGGCUUAACCCCAGUCCUGCUUCCGAUACGGGUGGACUAGAGGUAGGUAGGGGAGAACGGAAUUCCUGGUGUAGCGGUGAAAUGCGCAGAUAUCAGGAGGAACACCGGUGGCGAAGGCGGUUCUCUGGGCCUUACCUGACGCUGAGGAGCGAAAAGCGUGGGGGAGCAAACAGG
rnacentral:rRNA from 1 species